GUCACACAGGGUGAUGGGGGAGGGUGUGGCUCUGUUCCUCUGGAAAUCCACAACCAUCUCCACUGUCUUUAGAGCGUUGAGCUCCAGGUUGUUCUGGCUGCACCACGACACCAGAUGGUCAGACUCCACCUGUAGGCGGACUCGUCCCCACCAGAGAUCAGUCCAAUGAGGGUGGUGGGAAAGAACGCAGCCUUGGGGGGAACCGGUGCUGAUGGUCCGAGAGGCUGAGACAUGUUUCCCCAGCUUCACGUGCUGCUUCCUGUCAGACAGGAAGUCUGUGAUCCACUUGCAGGUGGAGUCGGGCGGUGCAGCUGGGAGAGUUUGUCCUGCAGCAGAGACGGGAUGAUGGUGUUGAAGGCAGAGCUGAAGUCCACAAACAGGAUCCUGGCGUAGGUUCCUGGGGAGUCCAGAAGCUGGAGGAUGUAGUGGAGGGCCAUGUUG
ensembl:lncRNA